rnacentral:lncRNA from 1 species
UGUCGGCGGGCAGGCAAGCAGGUAUGCAGACAAGCAAGCAGGCAAGCAACAGCACGUACCUGAAUGAGAGACGCGGCGGCUGACAUAUGCUGGCUGUGUCUUGGCGAAAGCAUGAAUGCGCUGACACCCGCAAUACAGAAGCAGCUGUAUCUCUUCCUGUCCAAACUGCGCCCGCCAACUAGAAGCGACUUUCCUUGUCACUUUCCUAUCUGCGAGAGCCCGGCUCUCGACUCAUAGCUGGCAUGCCCCAGCCCCUGAGCCCCAUCUGAGCCCCGUCCCCAGCUCCCUGUUUCCCACCUGGCCAUGAUGGUUUUGGGCUGAGCCCUGCUGCUGCUGCCUGCCUGAGGCGCCCGCACACACGCCUGCCACGCCAUGCCGCGCCACGCCAUGCAGCCAGCCAGGCCCACCGCCCGAGGGGCAGCUCGCGCCGGCACACCGCCGCGGCGGAGCGGAAGCAGCAGAGGACUGCAACCACGUGGGCGAGACGCCGGCGUACACACGAGCGCCGCUUCCCUCUCCCUCCACAAAGUGGCGAGUGGAUCAUGGCGGGCAUGCGCAGGGCUGCUGCUCCUCGCCGCCGCGUCCCCACUCCUCCCGACUGACUGCGGCCGCCCGCCGGCACCCGAGCAGCAGCCACCGGCUGAGUGCUACCCCCGGGCCGGCGCCACACCCCAGGUGCCCACUGACUGCGACCGCCGCGCCGACGGCCAGGGCCGUCGGCGUCGGCGGCUGCCACCGCCGCUGGUGGGCACACGGGCCGCCCGGCGGCUUGGCCUUUCCCAAGGCGGAGCAGGUGGCUCCCAGUAGAGCCCCAGUCCUCACCGGGGUGCGGCGGCGGCGGAGACGGCAGCAGCAGUGCCCGUAAGCGGCGCGGCCGCGGCAUCAGAGGCCCCGGCCAGCGCUGCGCGCCGGCGCGUGCGAGCGGCAGCGCACAACCGUCAGCGGCAGGCGGGGCGCAGCAAACCGACCGGCCUGGCGCCAGGCCCGUGGGCGGCUGUGGCUGGCUGGCUGGCUAAAUCACUGGCUGUCUGGUUAACGAUCAUAGCUGCGGCUGGUUGGCUGUGCCUGUCGCCUGUGCAUCCUCCCAUCCCAACCCAGCCCACCCUCUGCCACCCCUGCCAAACCCGCCUAGCUGCCUAACGCUGUUGUGGCUGUGCUGCUAUUGCUGCUGUCCGAUAGCUCCUCAGCUGAUGCUGGCUGCGGCUGGUCCUAACCGGCAUGAGAAAAGUGGAAAAGCGGAACGACGAAACACGGGUACGCACGAGGCGUCCACAUUAUCGUCAAAUGCACUUUCUCAGCCGUUACAGCUCGCUGAAAGUCUGGUAUACGCAGGACGACAGCGGAGCCGUCCGCCCUCCCCUGCUCCUCGCCCCUGCCCCCAAAAGGCCGCCUCUUAAGUCCUCCGAGAAAGCUAGGCGCCGAGCGCUAAUAGCUCCAGCCAGACCGACGCUGCUUUGGCUGCGAGUAGCAGCGAAGCUGACGCCGGCUGCAAACUGCACGCUAUCCUCCCCGCAUCGCCCUCGGCUCACAAGAUCCCAGACCUGUGAAAGGGCGGCAGGCAGAAAGCGCAGCGCAGGGAUGCAAACGGUGAGCAGCAGAAAGCAGAUAGACACAGGUGCUAUGGGUGGUGCAGUGGAUCGCACAUGAAUGGGCCGCAUGUUCACGUGCUGCUGCUGUCGAUGGUGAGGGUGCUGCCGCCUAGCAGCUCUGCAGGCACUGCCGCAAUGCGCCCGUCGCUUGCGCGCAGCCGCCGGCUCCAGGAUAUUCCGCCCACGCCGUGCCCCGCCUAGCCCGCUGCCCCGGCUGUCUCGUUCCCUGCCGCUCCAACCAACUCCUUGGCCCCAGAGUGCCGCCGCCACUGCGUCAACAGAGUGCUCCGGCACGUCCCGCUUCCCUUCAUACACACGCGCUCUGGUACACCGCUGUCCCCACACCAGAGCUGCUGCUGCUGCUACUGCUGCAGUAAGCGCAGCUGCCAGCUGCUGUGAGGGAUGCAAACGGCCGUCAAGCGAGGUUGGCUGCGCCGCUGUUGAGCUGAGCUGUGAAGGAAUUAAAAGCUUAGGCUGUCCCCAGCUUGGUAACCGGCGCCUCACAAGGCAUCAGCACCGGCUAUUAGCGCUGCAAGCAAAUGUUGCUGUGGCACCCGAAACCAGCUCCCGAACGCUACACGAGUCGGCGUGCGGGAGUGCUAUGAGGUGCGAGGUGGGUGGGCGGGAGCCAGGGCCGCGUGCGAAAGCCGACGCCCUGCAGAGCUUACGACGCCCCCACCAGAGUAUCCGCGCAUGUGCUGUCGCCGUGUAACUGAUUCCUUGAGAACAAUUUGCUGUGCCAUGGUCUGCGCCCAAACAGUGCGCUGAGCAUUCUCUCUCCCUCCCCACUUGGGACGGGCAGGACCUACCCAAUAUUGCGCCAGGCUGAAUUUUCUAUCCCAGCUACGCUAAUGUCGCGCGGCCCUCCCCCGGCAAACACGCCUUCGCGACGCACGCCGCCAGAAAACGCAGCUAGUCGGCGCCCUCGGCUCACCCGCAUGCUGCUCCAGCGCGCCAGGUCCAGCUGCUCAGUAGAAGAAGCCCAGCACCUUGCCACCGACACGCUUGCGGCGGGCCUCCUCGUGGUCCAUGAUGCCGGCCGAGGUGGUCAUGACAAUGAUGCCGAACUGACGAGAAGGCAGCAGGCGGGCCACCCAGCGCUCAAUCUCGGAGUGGCCGAUGUCGUAGCGGGGAGAGAUGACACCGCACUUGUUCAGGCGGCCGUUCAGCUCGACGACAAUCUUGCCCGAGCGGUGGUCGUCGACGUACUCGAACUCGCCAAUGUAGCCGUGCUUCAUCAUCAGCGACAGGAACUUGAUGACCACCUUGGAGGCGGGGCGCAGCAGCACCUGGCGCUUGCCGCGCUUCUCAGCGUUGUACAUGGUCUUCAGGGCAUCGCCCAGGACGCUGAUGCGCACCAUUUUUGCUGAAUAUGGAAACAGCAAAACAAGCGGCAAAAGAAAGAGGGAGUUGUGGGGUCUGCCCCGAAGACUAUACCCUGGCCGCCGCCGUGCAUGGGAGAGCGACUCUCCCUCGGUCGUGCUGCAUUUAAUCUGUGCGAGGAAAUAAAACGCAACAUGUGCUGUCGCGUGAAUAAUUGUGCGGGCCAAAGCACGCGCUCUGCGGCAAGAGUGGCCCUUCCUCGCUGCGGCCCCUCACCACCCGCCACGCCACUUCGGCGACAGCCGUCGAGCACCCACUCCGCUGCGCCCCCUGCUAAUCCCCACCUCCUUCGCGCCCGAUCCCCGCGCUUGCACGAUGCGGCAAGCCUCCUCCUCUGUUUCUCUGACAGGGUAAGGCAGGGUAAGGAGCGUAGCCCGAAGUGCGCAGGUGCCAAGGUGUGAAGCGAAGCGCCGGAUUCCUGUCUGGAGACGCAGUGCUCCCGGUGCCGCUGGUGCCUUCACGGCUUCACCAUCCCCUCCCAACACGCAGAGGAACACGUCGGCCAAAACGCCGGUGGCUCGGCUAUUGUUCACAGAAAUGCGGAUGAGCAGCGCUGAUGCGCCGCCGCUGUCAGCAGGUUGGCAUGCAGGCAGGGCCCCAGCCCCAUCCUCCAUGACUGCCCCGAGUCCCGUCGUGAGUCCCGUUACGGCCCGUGCCUGUAAGGGGCGAUGAUCCGGUGGCACCUGAUGAUUUUAGACAGGCGCCUCACAGGCGUUACUCAUCUCCACAGAUCCCGUGCUCCCAUGUCUUCUGCCUUCUCACAGCCGACGAAAACGCCGCGCCGCAACCGCAGCUUCGCCCGCACCCCCGCUUUGGCCCACAGCCUAGCCACUGCUGCCUCCUGAAGUCACCGGAGACUUCAAUACCAGCUCAAAUGCCGCCCCCACAACGUAGAUGGAUCACGCGCGCACUCGCAGCCGCCAGUACCCCCCUAGUACCCACACAGCCGGCUCCUGGCCGCCGCCGCCGUCCCCCCCCCCUCAUCACCACAGCCGUCCACAGCUACCCGCUACAACCCCUCAUGCUGCCCGCACCGCAAUUACUGCAGUCUGGUCAGGCAGAGCCCCUGUCCCCAAAAUAUCUUUGUCCCCUUAAGGCACGAACCCAAGGCACGGUACCUAAUCUACACCGCACCCUUAUCAAGUACUGCGAUGGCAAAUGCGUCAGCCACGCCCACACCCACAAGGAAAGUCCGUUAUGGUCCAUCGUCGCGCAAUGAAUGCGCGUGUAAACAAAAUUCAGGCCACGCACCACGGGCGCCCCCAGGCGCUUCAAUCCAGGCCGCGCCACGCACAUGCAUACGAGCGCGCCCGCUCGCUUAUUACGGCAAACCCUGCUUCUCGCAUCCUCGCACGCGCCCGAAACAAAACGUCAAACCGCGCCGCCGUGACUUGCUAGCACGCAAGCCGUUAUCGAGCAGCUGGCUAGCUCGCUAGCAAGCUAGCUUGGACAGUGCUGGUUUACGAGCUGCCGACCAUGGCGUUCGGGCGGUCGUUGUUGAUUAGCGACACCUUCUGGGGGGCGCGGCGGGAGGCGCCGCGGCCGCUCAUCUCGAGCUUCUGCAGGGGGGGGGAUCGGAAGGACGGGAGGUUGGGAGUUGCGGGUUGGACGGUGGGCAGGUGGCAGGGACUCUUCAGUGACGGGGUCAGUGACACGUGUUGGCACAGGAUGUCACCGCAGAGAAGUGUCACUACAGAACCGAGUUGCAAAGGUUUCCUUCUUCGAAUAGCACCACGCCACGCGCAAGGCGCCACGCAACAUGCGAGGGACAGCACCCUCCUCCUCUGCCGACACACUCCUCCCCUCAAACCACCCACCUACCCACACUUCCACCCACACGCGUCGUUCUUUGUUUAACACACCCACACGCGCCAGUGUGCUUUCCCCAACCCCACCCCACCCCACACGAACACACGCACCUGCAGGUACGCCUCAUCAAUGUCGCCGGUGACGUAGGUGCCUGUGAAGCACGAGGCGUCAAAGUCCUGCAUUUGGAGAAGAGAGAGGGAGGGUUAUGUUAAGUGGAGCGAGUGGUGUUGGGAUGAGGAGGUGCGGAAUGAGUCGUUCACAACACCACCCGUCCUGUCGCGCGCCGCAGCUGCUCGUCAGCCUGCGACUGCAUUGCUAACCCAGCUCAACCCACCUUGAUGUCCGGGUUGAGCUCGCGGCCGGCCGUCAUGAGGUCGUCCACCUCCUGGUAGAUCAGGCCGUCGGCCUUGAGCAACGUGCACACCUGAACGAGGGAGGGAGGGAGGGAGGGAGGGAGGGAGGGAAAGAUAUGGAGGGUUAUGUGCCUGCGCGCAACGACAUAGCUCCCAAUCGUCAAGGAAUCGCCGCCCAAGAGGGAGGGAGGCCUGAUGAUGGUUGUGAUGCAGUGUCGUGAGCAGAAGUGCGGCGAAGCAUUGCGCUUGAGAGAGAGACAUGUCGUUGAGUGCCCGCACUCGGGCCCACGUGCCGCGCAGCAACCCCAGGGGUCGUGGCAUUCCCCCCCUUCCCUCUCCCCCCUUCCCCCUCCCCUCCUCCUCCUCCUGCCCCCCGCUCACCUGGUCAAUGGUGAGGCCGUUGGCCACGAACUCCUUGCGGCUGGGCAUGUCCACGCCGUACACGUUGGGGUACACCACAGGCGGCGAGGCGGAGGCCAGGUACACCUUGCGCGCGCCGGCGCGGCGGACCAUGUCCACAAUCUGUGGCGGGGGGAGAAUAAUGUAAAUUUGCGGUUUGAAAACGAAGCUGGGGGUUUUGUUACAGUGUGUGCCAGAAUCGCAACUGUUCCUCCAACCCAGCCCCCCGCCCCACAGUUUAUAUCUCCCCUCCCCUCCAUUUGUCCCCUCCUCCCAAGUCCACCCUCACCCCUAUCCCCCCUAUCCUCCCUAUCCCCUUCCCCCCACGCCCUGGUGUCUACACCCCCCCACCCCCUUCCCCUCCACCCCCAACCCCCCAACCCCCCAACCCCCCAACUUCACCCCCACCUGCGUCAUGGUUGUGCCGCGCACAAUGGAGUCGUCGAUGAGCAGCACCGACUUGCCCUCGAACACCGCCGGCAUGGCGUUGAGCUUGCGGCGCACCGACAUCUCACGCAGCCGCUGGUCGGGCAUGAUGAAGGUGCGGCCCACGUAGCUGGAGGCAGCGGGGAAGGGGUUACAUUCAUGAUUAAUUAAGAAGUUGGGGGGGGGGGCAGAGAGAGAUUGGGGGGAGAGAGAUUGGGGGGAGGGAGAUUGGGGGGAGGGAGGGAGGGGGUUACAUUCAUAAUUAGUUAUGGAAGUGGUAGACGGUGGACCAUCUUGGGGAGGGAGGGAGGGGGCAAGGUGAGGGAUGGAGGAGGGAGCGAGGGAGUGACACGGCCGCGAGAGCGGGAUUUGUGUUUUUGGGAGGCGGAUGUGUUUGCCACCGUGUUUACCCUUUCCUCCACGCUCCUCCACGCCCCUCGGUUCCGCUGCCAUGCCAACGAGAACCCUUCAUCACUCCCCAUUCUACUCGUCUAACGUCGCGCCCUCCUGCCCACAUACCCUGUCCCAUACCCCCCUCUGCCCCAUACCUUCUCCCAGCUCCCGCUCGCGCGCUCCCCUCUCGUCGCUCACCCCCUCCCCGUCCCCUCUUCGCGCUCCUCGUCCCCAUCCACCCCGUCUUCCCCCUCCCUCGGCCCCCCUCCCCUCUCCCACCCUCCCCCCUCAGCCUCACCGGUUCUUGACCAGGCCCUCUCACUCCUCUCUCGGCCCCCCUCCCCCCUCCCACCCUCCCCUCAGCCUCACCGGUUCUUGACCAGGCCCUCGCGGUACGGCAGCCCCAGCUCCGCCGCGAUCUGGAUGGCGGCGGGCCGCGAGCCGUCAGGCACCGGGCACACAAUGUCCACGUCCCAGCCCUUCUGCCUGGGGGUGGGAAACGGGGCGUUGCAUUCAUGAUUAGCUAAUGAAAUUGGGGGGGGGGGGUAGGCGCUACAAUCAGGAGUCAUCAAGAAGAAGCGAGGUUGUAUCCAGGCACAUGGGGUAGGGGCGGGGAUGCGAGGUUGACAGUGAGCAGUGGGAACAAAUGGCGGGGUGGGUUCGGGUUGGACGGGGCGUGUACGGAUGACACACACGCCUUCGCACGCCCUGACACGCACGCACGCACCUGAUGCGGUUGGCCAGCGCCGUGCCCAGCUUGAGCUGGAAGUUGUAGACGGGGAUGCCGUUGAGUACCGAGUCGGGGCGGGCCAGGUAGAUGUACUCAAAGAUGCAGGGGGAGGGAGUGCCCUGUGGGAGUUGUAAAGAUCAGGGGAGGGGGUGGGCGCGGGCGUCAGGGGCGGGUGGAAGGGAUAGUUCCCUGCAAACCCAAUGGAUUCGUCGAUGGGUUCCAUCCUCUACUCAGUUGGUGCCGCUCCCUCCUCCGCCCCACCUCCCCCUCACACCUGCGCGCACUGCCUGCUCAUGAGCUUGCCCUUCCCAGGCCCCAGCCCCGCCCUGCCCGCCACUCCCCCGGUAAUCAUCGCGACCGAGUUACCCAAGGUUCAUUUGAUAGUUGUCAGCAAAGUGCGGCGUCGACAUAAGCUAUCACCUUCCUUUAAAGUAACACCUUGUAACGAGCAAAACCUUUCAAGAUAGAACCUUUAAAGCCAUAAAGCCCCGCUCGCACCUGCGCGCACUGGCGGCUCAUGAGCUUGCCCUCCUCGGUGAUGAUCACCAUCUCGCCCGGCUGCACGUCGCGCACGCGCUCAAAGCCGAUGGGGCCGAACGCGCAGUCCUCCGACGCCACACACCACUCGUCGCCGUGGGCGCCCGCGCGCUUGCCCAGAACCAGCGGGCUGCGCGGGGGGAGGCGGGAGGCAGGGGAAGGGGGGGGGGUGAAUUGGGUGUUUGAUUUGGUUCUCGCAAUCACAUACGGUAGCCGCCUCUUGCACUUGCCUGCGGCUGUACACCGUGGCACGGUGUGGUUUAGUUUGGGCUGGUAUCCCUCCCGGCACGAGCCGCAUCCGGGCGCCCGCCAAUCCAGCCCCCAGCCCACCACCUCAGCCCCAUCCCCCGCCCCCCUCCCCACCCCCCCAUCCUCCCUCUCAAGCUGCCGUCAACGGUAUAGUACCCGCUCCCCCCCCCCGCGCCUGACCCUCGCCACCCUCUCCAGCCCGCCUCACCGGAUGCCGUGCGGGUCGCGCCCCCCCUCCAUCCCCUUCUUGGAAUCAGGACCGAUCUGACCCCCCUCCCCACCCCCCUCCAGCCCGCCUCACCGGAUGCCGUGGGGGUCGCGGAAGGCCACCAGGCCCACGCCCUUGACCAGCGCCAGGCAGGAGUAGGCGCCCUUGAGCAGGCGCAUGGUCAUCUCGCCCGCCUCGAACAGGAAGUUGAUCUUGUUCUUGUUGGGGUCGCAGCCGGUGGUCUGGGUUAGGGGGAGUGACAUGGGGGUGGGUGGGGGGUUAGGAACAGGGGUGGGGCAGGGGGCUGAGGGGGGAGGGAGAGGGAGGGUUCGGCUCCAGGCAGGACCGUGGUUUGCCGAUGGCCGUGACCAUGUGUGGGGCCCAGGUGCUUUGGGGCACUGGUUUUCGCAGUUAGCGAAUUGCUCCUGCCUGGAUUGCCCCUUCCGCCCCGUCCGGUGCCUCGCUGCCCGAAGCUGUUUUGAGGGGCGGUAACCACUGCUCCCUCCCUCCAGGCCACAGAUGUGCCAUUGACCUGUCGUGUCUUGCCGCUAUAUACACCCCACGCAAUCCACCCCGUCCUUACAAGCUCCGACCCGUGCUGUCUUCUCCAGAUAGCUCAGAUCUCCAUCUGCCCUGGCUGUCAUCCCGCUGACUAGUCAGAGAUCACCGUGCCCGUGUCGCGAAUCCGUUGGCCCGUUUCCUGCUUCGCCCCAGCCUCCACUCGCUAGGCCCGGGAGUACACCCCCCUGCUAGGUUGGAAUUGGAUUGAACUCCCCUCCCUGCCCACCACCACGUCCUCCCUCCCUAACCCCACACCGGACCCCCAACCACCACCACUACGGCAUCACUCUCGCAUGCAGGCAGCGCUGGUGCGCGCACCACCUCCCUACCCACCCCCACAACCCCCACAGUUCUCUUCCUAAACCCCCAGCUCCCACCCCCCUCACCUGCAGCGCUGGUGCGCGAGCCACCUCCCUCUCCCCCCCCCACACACAUCCUUUUCCAAACAUCCUUGCAAACCACCCCCACACACAACUCCCCAACACAGGUUCCCUUCUUGAAACCCCCAGCUAGCUCCUGCCCCCCUCGCUCUCACUUGCAGGCAGCGCUGGUGCGCGCACCACCUCUCUCCCCACCCCUCUCACCUGCAGGCAGCGCUGGUGCGCGCGGUGCACCUCGUCGGCCAGGAUGUUGAGCAGCACCUCCGAGUCCGACUCCGUGCGCAGGUGGCGGUUGAAGAAGGAGCGGGAGCUGUGCAGGUGGAAUGGAUUGGAUUGGGUGGGAUGGGGUUGGGUUGGGUUGGGUUGGAGUGGGUUGGUUCGGGUUGGAUUGGUUGGACUGGAUAGGUUGGAGGGGGCGGGAUGAAGGCACGGGGGAGGCUAGGGUAGGUCUGUGGCGUGGUGUGCGUGCCUGUGCUGGACCUUCACAACGCUGGUGGUGGACCAAUGAGCCGGUUCCGGUCUCUUGGACAUGGGUGACGCGGUCCCCUCCCCGCAGCCCCCUCCCCGCCCUCGUCUACCGUAUCUCCCUAUCCGCGGCACUGCCUAACCGCUCCGCCUUGCCCCCCCGCCCUCCCGUUGCUCCACGCCAUUGGACUGGAACCCCCCUACUUCGUCGGGCUCGCCCCAUGACCCCCCCCACCCACACACACACUUCUCCCCGUCCCCCUCCACCCUACACUCCCCCCCUCCCGUUCUCCACAUGAACGGCUACCCCUUCCCCCUACCCAAACGACCCCCCACCUGUUGAGCAGGUCCCUCAGCUCCUCGGUGUUCGUGAGGUUGCCGUUGUGGAUGAGGUAGAUGCCCAGAGGCGAGUUGACGAAGAAGGGCUGCGCCUCCUGAGCGCUGGAGGAGCCGGCGGUGGGGUAGCGCACGUGCGCGAUGCCGCAGUGGCCUGACAAAGGGAGAGGCAGGGGCGGAGGAGAGGGAGGGAGCGGCGGGGAGGGAAGGGUGGGUGGGUGGGAGGCGAGGAGGAUGGCGGAUGGGGCCGGGUUCCGGAAAGGAGCUGGAGCUAGGCGCAGAGCACGGCGUGCUUGUGCCAACCCACCAGAUGCAAGGAACAAGUGCAUCCAGACAUCUACCCACUUGACCCGCAGGUUUCGCACCGCCCAAACUGCCCCUGCCCCAAGGCCUGGCGCAACGAGCUGCAGCCGCUCCAGCACCCUCCCCGGGCACCCGCACCGCCCCGCAACACCCCUGUCCCCCCCUGCCUCCUCUCCUCUCUGCGCGCGCUCACCCUUCAUGGAGUCCAUCAGGUCCUGCUUGCCGAACACGUCCUUAACCAGGCCGUUCUCCUUGUACUCCUUGAAGCGCGACCAGUCGGUGGUCACCAUGCCGGCCGAGUCCUGGCCACGGUGCUGCAGCAUGAGCAGGCCCUCAUACAGCUCCACGUUGGCGUUGCCCUCGUACUUGAAGAUGCCGAUAAUACCGCACAUGCGAGGCGUGACCCUGCAGCGUUUCCAUGUAUCUGAGCUCAGCGAAGCCCUUGUUGCAAAGUCACGCAUGUUGAUGGUUUGGCGGCGACUCGCUCGCGCACCUCUUGUAGGCCUUGGCGCCACCGCCGACCAUACGGGACAUGCGCGCAUUUCCAAGAGCAAUCUUGCCCUUCAGUGCCGACGCGUUGCUGAAGGUGCUGGCAAGGUGGCUCGGCGGGGGCAUCGCGCCGCGCACGCUGCGGACGUUUGUGCCAGCACGAGCAGCAACCUCCACCGACCGGCGCUGCACACAGCCCCGGGAAAGGUUCUUGCUAGAGAGCAUCAUGUUGGCGGCCUACUCGAGGGGGCGACUAACGAAAUUAUGCAGGCGUUUGGGAGUUUGCACGCGACCACUACUCAAUUCGCGGCUGGGACAGGCUCAAUUAUCCAGUCAGCUAGUGUAUGGUGAAGCACGCAAAUUGCACCCACGAAGAAAGCAUGCAGCCGGGACCGGUCACCUCAGGGCGUGGCAAUUCGGCGCCAUGGCGUGGUACGGCCGGCGUGAAGCGUGGACAAAACUUUGCAAAUGCAAUACACUCCAUCUCAUGCAUACAUUUUAUAUUGCUAGACGCUUGGCCAGAGGCCCGCGCAAAGUGGGGCGUCCAAUAGGGCGUGCUCAGCGCAAAACACGUUGUUUGCGGGGUGGGCUCGCGUCGACGCGCCGCGGCCUUUAUCAACACACACUUGACUUACCCAUGACUGUCACGAGCAACUUCGCGCGGGCUUGCGCGGGCUGGCGUAGGACGCGGUCGCGGGCACGCGGACCGCCAUGCCCAAUGGCGUCCCGAGUCCCGCGGCCACGUGAGCCUGACCGUCAUCCCAAGGGAGGCCUCGACCCCGCUUGACAGCACAGAUGUUUUACUGUUGAUAGCGUGGAUUUUGCACGGUGCGAGCACCUUCAUGCGUGCGUGCUGCUUGGUUGGGCUGCGCGUGCUAGUCCGCGGCAUUCCCAGCCCUUGCCAACCCCUGUCCAAGCCUGUCCUCCAUUAUGCAUUGGUUGAGCGGGGCUAGAACUCCCACAGUCUCUCGGAAAGGGUAUUCAAGCUCACGGAUUUGGGGAGCAUGGAGGAGUUCCACAUGUAAGGCGCUCCAGAGUUGAGAGUUCACCAGGACACGCUACGACUGCUUAGGCGGCCCCAGCCCCUUGUCACAGCCAACAUGCCCCAUGCCCCAGGCUCGACGCGCGUUCCCCGGCUUGGGGUUCGUCAAGUUCGUGCUCUCUGCCUGUCGUGCAUGUACCUGGCCGCGGUGUAACCUGAUUCAACGGGUCUCCGCAAUAGUACAACGAAACGAUGGUAUCAGCGGUAGUACUGGUAUGCUGUCCUGUUCCUUCUUGCAUCCAGGGCAAGCUGGAGUUUUGAGCGAGCCAUGAGAAACAGCACUUCUUGUUAUAUGUCGUCUGGUUGCACGGGAAGGCUGCUUCAGAGCUACGUGUGCUUAAGGGAAUCCCAGGUACCCGAACCGACUUCAUCCCACACGCCACCCCGCAGUACUAAUCCGUACUAACUGGCUUUUGCAGGAUAUGGAUGGUGCAUCACUUUGAAUGGGCAUAUUCAUGCAUCGUUGCAUUGGUUGAACACCACCGGUCCAGUGCCGGACAGCGCGAAGUCCCGAACUGGGGGUGACUGGGGGUCGGCCGGUGGCGAGCUUAAGGGCUGCAUGGGUGGUCCGGGUACGUGCCGCGGAGUGCCGCGGGCGGGAGUCGGGAGACCAACAUCAAUUAGGUCUCGCUCUGCCUCUCCGCAAGUUAUACUAGUACUGUGCCUGCUUGCUCUGCUGUAACGUGACGCUGCUGCUCGACUUGCACUUCCGAAAUCUUUAAGAGACGCGCAUCGAUCUGACCUUGUCCUCUCUUUCUCUUUCGCUCGGCUAAAAUGCCGCCCAAGCAGAAGAAUGAGCUUUACAAGUGCGUUGCAGUUUGCCUUUCCCGCGCUGGUUUGGGCGCGGGCUCAGAACUUACCGUCGGCGCCCCGCGUGACGCAGGGAGAGUGCUCGCAAGAAGGACGUGCGGACAUCGAACAUAGAGGCAGCUAAGGCGGUAGCAGAUGCCGUGCGGACAAGUCUGGGGCCACGCGGAAUGGACAAGAUGGUGCGAAGGGCGGGAGCAAUGUGCAGGGGCCGCGUGAGCCAGUCCCGGCGAGCUAAACACGCUCGACAUUAUCUAUGCAGGUGGCUGCUGCCAACGGCGAGGUGAUCAUCACCAACGACGGUGCCACCAUUCUCCAGAAGAUGACCGUCACGCAGCCGGCCGCCAAAAUGCUCGUGGAGCUUUCCAAGUCGCAGGUGCGGCCGCCGGCCCGCACGCCUCGGGACCGUACAUGGAGGCUGGGCACCACUGCCGCUGUCGCACUGGCGGGGGAGCCGGGGGGGAGGGGAACGUACCGGGGGCGCGGGUAUUUGAGGAGCCAGGAAGGGCACGGCUCCCGCCAAGCCGCACGCGUGCCGUGUCGGUCGUUGCCCACUCUCCCAGCACAGAGGGUCACUCACAACACAACACGAACUAUUAGGGCGCCAUCAGUGGCAAGCUCCGGUUGUGGUACAGGCGUGCUGACGCCAGGCCUGGUGCCAGUCCGCCCGCGCACAAUCCCCUUCCACGCACCCGCACAAGCGUCCUGCCCCAUCCCCACUGCCCCCUCCUCGCCCCCUCCGCACCCAGCUUACCCCCGCUGCUACCUCACUCGCAACCUCCUCUCCCCCACCCCUCUCAACCCCUCUUAACCCCUCCUCCUCCCUUCUCACCCCCCUCUUUUCCCACAACAGGACGUGGUGGCUGGCGACGGCACCACCUCUGUGGUGGUCAUCUGCGGCGCCCUCCUGAAGAAGUGCCAGGAGCUGCUGGAGAAGGGCGUGCACCCCACCAUCAUCAGCGACGCAUUCUUCAAGGCCUCGCACAAGGCCUGCGAGGUGGGCAGCGUGGGCGGCAGCGGCGAGGGGGAGGCAGGGGCAGUGGGGUAGGAGGGGGUAGCUCACCUAGGAGGGGGUGGUAGUUUUAUUCCAAGCCCAGCUAAACCAAGACCCCAGUCAGCCCAAAUGGGGGUACUAGGAGGCAGAGGGAAGGGUGGGCAGUGAUGGAGGCAUGGAAGUGGUGCCAGGGCCAGGCUGACGGGCCAGGCCAGAGAAGAACAUGAGAGCGCGAGCGUGGGCAGGCAAGAGACGGGCCCGGUCCUUUUGCUCCUACCGGGCUCUAUCACCUUAUCAUGGAGCCCCUACGCACUUGCCCGCACCCUGCCCCGCCCUUAGUCAUGCAUGGCGUCCCUCCGCACUCAAUGCCCCGCACCCCUGCGCCCCCCACCGUCCCUCUAGAUCCUGGAGUCCAUCGCUAUCCCCGUCAACCUGGAGGACCGCGAGGCGCUGCUGCGCGCCGCCACCACGUGAGUACGGCAGUCGCAUGAAGAUUUGCAUGUGUACAUGCACUUAAGGCAUUGCUGCUGUUGCUGCGGCUGUUGCUGCUGCGGCUGCUGCGCGCCGCCACAACGUGAGUGGCCCAGCAGCAGCCGCGGGUGCUGCAAGCCAGGGGUGGGGCGGGGUCGGGGGUUGAGGGAGACAUCGGCGGACAGCGCCGGGAAUGCUGCGGCCUGGCCUGUUCUGGAUCCUGGAGCCACACCACGGAAACAGGGGCCUCGGCAGCAGUGGCGGUUACAGCAGUGGCGGUGGUAGCAGUUGCGAUGACAGCAGUGGCGGUGACAGCAGCUGCGGGCGCAGUCGGGGGAGGGCAGUAGUCGGGGCGCCAGCGCCGCAGCCGAUCCCCGGCAUGUCGGCAUCUCGGCUUGCGGGCUGGUGGCGACGUAGCAGCGGAUCAUGGCGUUUGUGAGCGGCAGCGGCAGUAGCAGUAGCAGUAGCAGUGGCACAUACACUAGGACUAGGCGCACGAGGGACGCCCCCCUUCCCAACGCCGGGGGCUUGCAGGGCCUCGGGGCGGAGUGGUGCGCCCUGUGCGGCGCUCCCACACGACCGCCGCUGCAGUUGUUUUCAUGCCACCUGCGGUCGCGCCUAGGCUGUUGAAACCACGUCGUCUAACCAGUAACCAUACACAACCCCUCCCAGUCCUCCUCCCCCACUUCCUUAACUAGUCAUGAAUGUAAAUCCUCCCUCCCCUGCCCCUCCACCCUCCUCCUCCCUCCCCCCUCAGCUCGCUGUCCUCCAAGGUGGUGUCUCAGUACAGCUCUCUGCUGUCGCCCAUGGCCGUGGACGCCGUGCUCAAGGUCAUGGACCCCGCCCGGCCCAACCUGCUGGACCUGCGGGACAUUAAGGUAAGCCAAAGGGGCGAGGGGAGGGGGCAGGGGAGGGAGGGAGGAACGGAGGGGGGAGGGAGGGAGGGAGAGGGAGGGAGAGAGGGGGUUAAAAGAUUCCAGCCCAAACUUAACCGAAUUCACUGCAAAAGAGGAGACCGUGGGGGGAGGAGGUUACAUUCAUGGUUGAUCGAGCGGUUGUAAACACCCAAACGGCGAGGGGAGGGGGCGUGGGAGGGUGGCAUGUCUGGGGCCCGCGAAAAGGAAGCGUGCGAAACGAACGGUGUGGAGGGGGGCCGGUUGUUUUCAGCAACCAGAGACACGUAGGGGCUGGUGGGCAUUGGAAGCACUGCCAUUGCACCAACGGGCAUCCAGGGUUGCGCCCCCGCUUGCCCCUGCCCCUCCUUGGCUUCUCAAACAUGUGCUCGACAUGAUUGGCGAUGACAAUUUGCGCUUUCCUUUGAUGCUUCUUGAUGUGUUGCGCCUGCCUGGGGCUUGGCGAUGCUGUGGCCGCUGUCGCUUUACGGCAAUGCCCUCCUUACCCCUUCCUCCCCUCCUCUGCCCCCCUCCUUCCUUCACCUCUGACAUAGUCAUGAAUGUAACUCUCCUCCUUCCUCCCUCCUCCCCUCUUCUCCCUCCUCGCCCUCCUGGCCAGGUGGUGUCCAAGGUGGGCGGCACCAUUGACGACUCGGAGAUGGUGGACGGCAUGGUGUUUGAUCAGAAGGUGAGGGGGAGGGGGGGUUGGGGAGAGGGCAGGGUGAGGGUGGGUGAGGGUCGCAGUUUGAGGAGUCGAAGGAUUGGGAGGAGGAGAGAGAGAGGGAGGGAAGGAGCGAGGGAGGGAGAGACAAGGGAGAAGGGGUUGGGGCAAGGGGUAGUUCACUCAAAAACGCAAUUCCACCAAGACCCAGAACCGGCCAUGGUGUAAGGGAGGGGCACUCCUGAGGGGGUAUGAGGACGGGAUGGCAGCAGGGGCGGGGCCAGGCGGCAGCAGUACACGGGGUGGGGUGGGGAGGCACUGGUGGAGUCCAGCAUAGGCCGUGCGGUGAUGGCAUGGUGCACAUUGCACGCUCACGCACACCCGGCCCCACAGCCACGCCCUUCCAACCCUACUCUCCCCCUAACGCCUCUGCCAACGCUCCGCUAGCUAAGCUUGGUUUGGUUAACCUUGGGCUGGAGUGUGCAACCCUCACCCUCCUCCCUCCCUCCUCUCCUCCUUGCUCUAUUGCAUUGGGUUUGGUUUAGUAUGGGUUUGGUUUAGUAUCUACAAUUAAUUAAUCAUGAAUGUACCCCCCCCCCCCAUCUUCCAGGCCGCCAAGUCGGCGGGCGGCCCCACGCGCAUGGAAGACGCCAAGAUCGCGCUGAUCCAGUUCCAGAUCAGCCCGCCCAAGACCGACAUCGAGAACAACGUCAUCGUGUCAGACUACAACCAGGUGCGCGCGGCGUGUACGGCAUUGGGUGUGUGUAUGAGUGAGUGUACGAUGUGACUACGGCUUUAUUGUGUACGGCAUGUGUGUUUUACGGAGUAUUCGUGUACGGCUUUCUUUGCGUAUGAUUAUGAAAAGAGACGGCACGACGGGUCGGCAAAGAUGUCCCGACCCUUUCCCCCAUUACCAACCUACCAUUUCCUUAUCUAACCAUGCAUGUAAAACUUCACCUGCUCAACCCCAGAUGGACCGCGUGUACAAGGAGGAGCGCAACUACAUCCUGUCUGUGGUCAAGAAGGUCAAGGCCAGCGGCUGCAACGUGUUGCUCAUCCAGAAGUCCAUCCUGCGCGACGCCGUCACCGACCUGGCGCUGCACUACCUGGCCAAGGCCAAGAUCAUGGUGAGUGGCAGUGCCCGGCCCCCUUUGACAUCUGUACAUUGCUCCUGGCUACGCCCUCUCGUUCUUUUUAACAUGCAUGGAACCCCCUCAUGAAAGGCCCCCUCAUGAGUUGCUUGCAAGUCCGAAAAGGGAUUCAAGGACCGCUCGCUCGCUCGCUCGUUCGUGUUCAGGUGGUUCGCGACAUUGAGCGCGACGAGAUCGAGCUGAUCAGCAAGACGCUGGGCUGCCUUCCCAUCGCGCACGUGGACAACAUGAAGCCGGAGAAGCUGGGCAGCGCGGCACUGGUGGAGGAGGUGGAGGUAAGCGCAGGGGGCGGAGGGGGGGCAUGGGGGGAUGCUGUUAAUGCCAGCCAGAACUAAAGCAACGCAAGCUAAACUAGCGGAAGGGGGGCAUGGGGAAAGGGAGCGGCUGUUUCCACCAUGGUCAGGCGGGAAGGAGGGAAGCGCGGCGCGGGUUGAGGAGUGGUGAGCGCAGGGGGCGGAGCGGGACAAGAGGGCGGGUUUGUUGUCACCAUCUCCCGCGGGAAAGGUCUGGUGGUUAGGAAGGGGGCGGGGUGAUUGGAUGGGUUGAGGAGGAUGCGGAACGCGAUGUGAUGAGGAUGCGGAACGCGUAGCGCUCAGAUGGCGGGUUUUGAUGGUUGCUAGGAGGGGCGGCGGCGUUGAGGUGCUCAAACCCAACGAAUGACGGCGGCUUGAGAGCGCCCCCAAUGGACGUCACCGCCUGCCCCCUGCCUCUUCCAACUCUCACACACCCCGCUGCCUCUUACCCUCCACCCCCUUCACUUCUUAAUUCAUCAUGAAUCUAACUCCCCUACUGCCUCCCUGCACCGCCGCCGCGCCAGGUGGGCAAGGGCCGCGUGGUGAAGAUCACGGGCAUCGCCAACAAGGGCCGCACCGCCACAGUGCUGCUGCGCGGCUCCAACAAGCUGGUGCUGGAGGAGGCGGACCGCUCGCUGCACGACGCCCUGUGCGUCAUCCGGUGAGAGCGGGAGGGGAUGGGGGGAGGGGAAGGGAGGGGAGGGGAGGGGAUAAGCCGGUGGGGAGAGUACGUGCAAGCAUUCCCCCAGCACUCUGGUCGCGCACCCAGUCACCUUCUCGCCACUGUGCAACCCUCGUACCUUUCCUUCCUCUCUCCCACUCCUCCCCUCUCCCCCUCUCCCCCGCCUCCCUCUCUCGCUGCUGUGCUACUGUUACGCCUUCACUUCUUCAAUACACAUGAAUGUAACCCCUCUCCCCCCCUAUCUCGGCCUCCCUCCCUCCCCCCCACCCGCACCCCGCCUCCCUCAGCUGCCUGGUGAACAAGCGCUUCCUCAUCGCGGGCGGCUCCUCGCCCGAGGUGCAGGUGUCGAUGCAGCUGGGGCACUGGAGCAAGACGCUGCAGGUGGGGCCGGUUGCAGGGGGCGGGAGGGUGUCAACUCUGAACCAAUCCUGUAAGGAAACAGUAGCGCAGCAAGGAGAAGCUGCAGCCGCGUGGGCGGGCUACUGCACGUCACCAUAGGUUGUCGGGCGGGCUUGGGCAGAGCAGUGGCAGUAGCAGUCCAGGCGGGAGGUGGGGAGGAGAAAUGCAAUGGAGGACAGGGCACGUCGCGGGGAGCGGCCCUCCGCCAGCACUACUUGGAAAUAAAGCAGAGGGGUGUGGGUGAUCGUGUGCAGUAUGUGUAGAACUCGGGAACGACGGAACGAACCGACGAGGUCACUCAUGCCGCGUCUAUUCCUGGCGCCUCAACACCAAACCCAUCGCCAACCCCUCAUUUGACCUGGCCUCGCCCAGUCUCACCUCACAUCAUUUUACGACGUGUCAAGCAAAUCGCAAAUAGCUACAAACCCGCUGAUAUUAAUGCGCUCAACGCCAACCCGCACACACAGGGCAUGGAGAGCGUGUGCGUGCGCGCCUUCGCUGAGGCUCUGGAGGUGGUGCCCUACACGCUGGCGGAGAACGCGGGGCUCAACCCCAUCAACAUCGUCACCGAGUUGCGCCGCAUGCACGCCUCGGGCGAGAAGUACAGCGGCAUCAACGUCAAGAAGGUGGGGCGGGGGAGGGGCACGCCAACCCGCACCGGCCCACACCAACCCGCACACCUCCCCACACCUUCGCCUCCCCACACCAACGUACGCAUUAGUUCCGCAACGCACGUCAAUAACCAACCCGCACCUCCCACCCACCCCCCUUCUGGACGUCGGCACUUCCAUGCCUAGUAUACAAAAACCGUUUGCAUUGCAUGCCUGGCUACCCUCCAGGGCACCAUCACCAACAUGCUGGAGGAGAACGUGGUGCAGCCGCUGCUGGUCACCACCAGCGCGCUCACGCUGGCCACCGAGUGCGUGCGCAUGAUCCUCAAGAUCGACGACAUUGUGCCCGUGCGGUAAUGGGGUCAGGGGAUGAGGUGGCGAUGAGGUGGUGGUGGUGAUGAGGCGGUGGAGGGCGUUGUGUGGUGUAGGGUGGUGGUGUGUUGUAGGAUUUAAGGCGUGUGUGAAGGGCUCGUGCAGUUCUGUGAGGGUGGUGAUGAGGCGGUGGAGCUGUGGUGGAGCUGUGGAGGGCGUUUUGUGGUGUGGGGUUGAGGCGUGUGCGGGAGGCGGCGGCAAGGGGCUUGUGAUGGAGAUUGUGAAAAUGGAUGAUGGGCAGAGGCGUCAGUUGGGAGCCCUAGCGGAGGCGGUUCAGGACAGAGUGGCAGAUGCGUGUGCACACACACGUGGUCGUUUCCCAGAGGCUGGGUGGGGCACAAACGCGCAGUCCCGUCAUUUGCUUCUGUUGUCUUGCUCUUGACAAGCGGGCGAGAGGUGUGGCUGUGGGUAAGGGCUGCGGUGGCUCGCACCGUGUGCAUGAGAGGGCGCGCGCGUGCGGAGUGGGUACAGGCGUGUAGGCGGUGUUGCCGUGCAAUCCGUUGAGCUGCGGGGAUCCGCCAUUGCGGAACUGCAGUCGUGUGCUGGUAAUGCGAGAAUGCACAUUGGGAGCAGGUCAACUUGCAACGUCAAUCUUGGCAACGCCUUGUCCUAGUCCCCAGCCGUGCAUAACUUGGUGCUAUCGCCUGGCCGGGCGCCCAGAGUGUGAGGAAUGCGCGUCAGCAAACUUCCAGCCAGCCAGCAACUUGUCGGUACAGUAAAUCCGGCGUUCGACCAGCCGCGCACUCCUAACGUCAUUCGCAGUGCCCCGCGGCCCCGCCCCUCCCUUCCCCCCAGCCUUCAUAAUUCUGACUCAGUCACUGCGUUACCCAUGUACAGCAAUCCCCCCCCGACACCGCCAGGCACACAAUGACUGGGAGCAGUCAGCGCGCUAGGAUGCCGGAAUGGGUGUGCGACGGGACAAGGUCAAGGCACGUCAACUCCGCAACUAACAUCCGGCACGCGCUGGUGGAGAUGCUGCUGGGGCACAAGCAACCUGCAUGGCUGCAGACUGGCGGCGGCGGCGGCGGCGGCAGUGGUGGCGGCGGCAGCGGCGGCAGCGGCGGCGGCGGCGGCAGCAGCAGCGGGGGCGCGUGCGCGCAUCUUGGUAGCGGAGGGGGCGGGCAAGGCCACGUGGAGGUGGAGGAGGAGAGCGCAGCGCCGCCCAAGAAGCGGCGCAAGCGCGCAGCAGGCUGAGGAGCCGGCUGGUGUCUAGGUAGCGGUCCGCGGUGGAGCUGGCAGGGGAUGCGUAGCGGCAUGACAAGUACCGUAGUGCGGCUGUUGACAACUGUGCUGCGUCUGGCUGCGGUUGGCUCUGCUGUGGCAUCGCAGUCGCUAGGCACCUGGUUUGGCUAUGUGCCUGAAACCGACCCCGGCUAUGUCCGGGCGAUGAGGUUGUUCGGCCUCAGACUGUGGAGGGGCUCAGCCCCUUUGCCCGUGACUGGGGAACACUUGUCAUGUAUGGGACCGCGGCCCACACAGUAUUGCAUGACACAAUUGUCACGUAUGGACCAUUUUCAUGUAUGGGACCGGACCGCGGCGGGCGCACCAGCCGCCCCCUCAUCAUAUUUAAUAAACUUUAUCCUCAACUCCUUUCUUGCUUGCAGACGUUGCUCACCGCCUACCGCUUAUGCUGUUGAGCCAACAGCCAACGUAACCAGUAUAAUACCGUAUGUUAUGCAUGGGGACACACCACAGCAAUCAUUGGCAUCCUGCCGCCUAUCUCGCCCCAAUCCUCCACCGCGUGUCUCAAAGCGCAUGCACAGCAGACUUACCCACGCACAAACACACACCACCCUCCACACUGCCACGCAUCCUCCAUUCCCCACUCCUCCCCCCUCUCCCGCUUCUCCUCCCGCCCCUUCCUCCCUCCCCCAUCUCCCUCCCACUACCCAACCUCCUUCCCCCUCCCCACCGCCGCCUCAUCCGCCUCCCUUCUUGAUCUUGUAGCCCCGCGGCCUCGGCUGCUUCAGCUUCGCAAUCAGCUGCUCGGGCGUGUUGGCCCCAAACAGGUCUUUGAGCCCGCACACCACCACCUCCAGCACCUGCUCCAGCUUGGCAGCCAGGCGGCGGCUCUUGGGCGCGUGGAAGCCGCUACUGCCGCGGUCGGGCUGUAGCAGGCCGGGGUCCACACGCACCGCCUCGUAGUAGUCGUAGGUGGGGUGGGCGCCACGGAAGCCCAGCUGAGGAGUGGGGGAGUGGAUGGUGGUGCAUUGGGGGGGGGGAGUUGCAAGGAUUGUUACAGAGAAGUGUAGCGAAGUAGGGCUGGGGGGGGGGAGGCGUGUGAGUGGGGUGGGAGGAAGUGGGAAGGAGGGUGGCAAGAGCGAGACGGCAGGGAGGCGAAUCGCUUCCCCUCCGAUGGUCCUAGUACCUUCCCGCGCACGCAUGCACAUGUCCCUGGACCCCGCCCCAAACUCCCACACACGCCCACCGCUUGCAACCAACGCCUCUGCCUGUGCUCCCCGCCAGCUAAAGUUCGUUGAUUUACUUUUGGGCUGGUACUUUCAAAACAACCCAACGCCCCCCCUCCCGCCUGCUGUCUACUUCGCUACACUUCUCUGUACCAAACCUUGCCCCCCCUACUACGACUUCACUUCGUAAACUUCGUAGACUUAAUGCGUGUAACCCCCCCCCCCCCCCCCCCGCCCCCACCUUGUCCAGCUGCUGGGGCGGCGGCGGGCUGAUGAGGUCUGCGGUGCGGCCCAGUGCCUCCAGGAACUCCACAUAGCUCAGAGCCUUGGCCCGGGCCAGUGAGGCGCGGCCGCCAGACAGCUCAUCAUAGUACCUGGGGGCCGGGUGGAGGGGGUGGGAGGCAGGGAGGGAGGGAGGGACGGAGGGAGGGAGGCAGGGGUGGAGGGAGUGAAGUUCAAAAGGGGCCUAUCUAAGCCAUUUAUACACAGCACGCUACGAGCCGACGAGACCGUAUUUGCACAUACAUGGCUGCUGAGUGCUUGACCCGGACCCGCCCAGGGCACCCCGAAGACCAGCACCUCAUGUCCCCCCCCACCCCCGACCACACGUCGUCCACUGACCCCCUCCUCCUUACUCACGUCAGGCGUCCUCGUUUUCCUGCUUUCCCCACCCCGCCCCCACCCCCAACCCGCCAACCCCCCACCCCCAACCCCCCAACCCGCCAACCCCCAUCCCGCCAACCCCAACCCGCCAUCCCCCAACCCGCCACCCCGCCACCCCCCACCCCCGCGCCUCGCGCACCUCAUCCUGCUCCACACGAAGGCCAGCCGCGCCUCCCUCACGGUGAAGUGGGAGUGGUACAGGCGGCCUUCACCCAGCAGCUCAAGCCACUCGGGCAGGUCCAGCCAGCCCGCGGCGCCGCUGUCACGAGCAAGGUCCUUGUAAUGGCCGUAGAUGGCCUGAGCAGGGGCGGAAGGUGGUGGGUCAUGUGCCCGAACAGUUAGGGGGGUAGGUAGGGGGGUAGCAGUGGGGUCCACGGUGACAAUCCAGUCGGCUGUAGUCCAGCAGUGCCGGAACGGCGCGCCGCAACCGAUCGAGCCACAAUGCCUUGGCCCCCCUUUGCAACCCCUGAGCCCCCGUUCACAACCCCUGGGCCCCCUUUCGCAACCCCUGCCCCCCCCGGGCGGCGACAUUUAUCGCCGGCGCCGCUCGCCCUGCUGCUCCGCGACGCCUCGGCCCACAUCCCAUAAGUAUUAUCGCUCGCAACUAACGCCUCUGCCUGCACUCCCGUUUUCGUUGGCUUUGGUUUAGUUUGGGCUGGUAUUUACAACCCCCCCCCCUUCACAACCCCUUGGGCCCCCCUUCACCCCCCUUCGCCUCUGCCUUUGCUCCGCUUGUUUUGGUUUAGUGGCUUGGUUCGGAUUAGUUUGGGCCGGUGUUUGAAUUAGCCCCCUUUCGCAACCCCUGCCCACCCACCUUGAGCAGCGCUGCGUGUUUGUCGUACAGCUCGUCCACGUCCUGUGUGUACAGCCGCAUCUCCCGGAACUCAUCCGGAUCCACCUGUGGGGUUUGGAGGGGUACGGAGGGGGGGGGUUACAUGUAUGAGCUAAGUUUGGGGGGGGGGGGGUUGCAAGGAUUGACACACAGAAGUAUAGUGAAGUAGACAGCAGCUUUGGUGGUGCGCGUACCGAUGACCGACGGCGGGCUUAUGUGCCCGAGCCCAACGAAGCUAGCUACGGGGGUGAGUUAUGUGUCCGAGCCCAACGAAAUAGGUCCCAAACGUCAAGGAAUCGCCGCCCAACCCAGAAAUGCAGUGCGAGCACGGAUGGGGAGGGGACAGCAGGAAGGCGCGGGACUCAUCAGGUGUACCGCAGUGGCCUAGUCCAACACAGACGCGUUGCUCCGUCACUGCCAACACUUAACAGCAUCAACACGCCGCUCAAGCUAUAUGCGCAGUGGGCCCGCACCGCGACGUAGCGCACGCUCCCCAAUCCGUAUUCCGUACUUGCGCAACUCCCCAACCCGUAUCCCUUACUUGCACAACUCCCAACCCGUAUUAUCGGCGAACACAUACACACACACAUACACACACACACACACACACACACACACACACACACACAAACACACACACACACACAAACACACACACACACACACACACACAGUCACGCGCGCUGCCCUGCGCUGCGCUCACCAGCGCCCCCGGCACCACCCGCGGGAUGAUGCACUCGUCCAGCAGCCGCCGCACAGCCCCCGCCAAGUCGACCACUGGCUCCCACGCAGAGCGGGUCGCCAGGCUGCCGCCGCUGCCGCCGCCAAGGGUGGGCGUGCCGGGCCCGGGCCCGGAGCCGGCGGGCAGCAGCGCCGGCGGCGUGAGCGCGCCGUCGCGGGCCUUGGUCCAGGCGCCGGAGGGGGGGCCGGUGGCGGAGGUGGUGGGAGAGCCGCCACCUGCGUCUUCGCUGAUUGCGGCCAAGUCCACUGCAGGCACCUCAAUGGGCGGCGGCCCCGCCGCCGGAACACCACCCCCAGCCGCCGCCGCCGCCUCAGCCGCCGCCGCCGCCGCCGCCGACUCGCUCUCGAGCGGCAGUUUCACGUCUUUGACAACCGCCGCCGCCGCCGCCGCCCGGCCUGAGCCGGGGCGUACGCUGCCGCCCGGGCCUGGGCUGGCCCUGCCACUGCCGCCGCCGCCGCCGCCUCCUCGUUUUGCGGAUGCAUCCACCGCCGCCCCUGCCGGCGUGAGGUACUUGGCCACGGCGGUGCGGAGGAGCGCCUCAAUGAACUCAAACCGCAUCAGCGCGUUGUCCAGGUUGGCCUGAAGGGUCGGGGGGGAGGGCGGGUGGCGGGUGUGUGUGUGUGUGUGUGUGUGUGUGUGUGUGUGUGUGUGUGUGUGUGUGUGUGCGUGUGUGUGUAGAUUCCAGACCAAGCUAAACUAGGGGGGUGAUUAUUUACGAACUGAAGGCGCAGCCAAGCAGGCAGAGGGUGGGGACUAAAGGUGUGCGCGUGCAGGGGCGUGAUGGCGCUUGCGUGUGGGCGCUGUACGUUUGGACUGGGCGCAUGACGUUUGGCCCAGCAGCGCAGGAAAGUGGCAGAAGUGCUUGCCUCCCCGCCUCCCCCUGCCCCUCCCCCCCGGUUUAGUUUGGGCUGGUAUUUACAACCCCCGCCCCAUCCCCCCGCCCCCCCCCCCCUCCCGCUGCUCUCCCUCCUCCUGUCCCCCUCGCCUCCCCCCACACCCCACCCCACAUCUCUGUACCAAUCCUUGCAACCCCACCUUGCUUUCCUCGCUGGCCUUGUCCUCCUCGUAGUUUGCUGCCAGGAAGAUGCGGUCCAGGUCCGCGGGUCGCACCGCGCUGCCGCCCGCCUCGCCCUCGCCGCGGCCGCCGCCCUCGCGCUCGCACACGCCGCACUGCGCCAUCAGCGCGCCCCAGGCCACCAGGUGCAUGGAGAAGGGGUCGGCGGAGCCGGCGCACAUGACGCUGCGGGGCCGGGGGGAGUGGGAGUUGUGGAUAGCAGCCCAAACAGAGGGGGGUUUAGUUCGUUUCACUUCCAAAACCAUAGCCGACCAAGAAGAGGGGAGAGGGACAUACUCGGCGUUGGUGUCGACUUUGCGCGCUAGCUGUGAUCCCAUACUGACGGUAACAGUAAGUACCGGACAGCGCCCUUCUAGCAAAGCCCGGUACGCACGCCCACACACACGCCCACCCCCAUCCCUACCUGUAGUAGUCGAAUAUGAGCAGCAGCUGGCCGUAGCGCUCCUUCACCAGCGCCCGCACCUGCUCCGCCUGUGCAGUGCCGCCUGCAGGCAGGUGAGGGUGUGAAGACGUCAGGGGCGAUGGCAGCAGAGGUAGGAGAUAGAUACGGGGGUUAGGCAGCGUGUUUUGUGCCGUGCACGUGCAGCGCGCGCGUGUUUCCUUCUCCGCCACCCCCAUUCCCACGCCCUUACUCCAUUUCCCAACCCACUCCCAACAACGCAAUUCGCCACCAUUGCCAAAGCAAAUACGGGACGCAUAGCCCUCGCAUACCGUACUCCUCCAUUCUCAAUUAAACGCUUUUCAAGCUUUACCUGGGCAGUGCUUGGUGAUGAGCUGUCCGAACCUCUUCUUGGCGUUGGCCCGCAACCAGUCCUUGUCGAAUAUGUCUCGCUCAAUGCCGGGGCGGUUGGUGAAGGCGCGAGAGUCGUUCUCCUUGGGCCGGCCGCCAAACACGGACUUGCCCAGCCCCCGCCACGGCGCCACCGGCGGCACGUCCUCCUCCUCCAGCGUGUAGCCCCGGGCCCGGUGCUUCUGACAGUGACAGGUGGAAUGGGGUGGGGCGGCGCGGGGCGGGGUGGGGUGGGGUGGAAGGUGUGUGCUCGUGUGAUUGCCGCAAACCCAAUUAACGCAACCCCACACGCAAGCUGCGCGGCACAAUCCCAAACCACGUGCAGGACUCUACUCGUGCGGCCGCAGCCGCAGUCCCCAGCCCCCAGCCCCCAGUCCCCAGCACCCAUCACCCUCGCCUCCCGCCACUCCCCGGCACCACACCCCACACCCCACGCACGCAGGCACCUUGCGCGGAUGCAGCUUCACGUGCAGCAGCAGCCAAUCGCGCGGGUCCCGCAGCACGCUGUGGUCGGGCUUGGGCGGCCCCAGCGGCGCCGCCGGCGCGGGCGGCUCCGGCUCCAGUGGCAUCUCGCCCGCACGCGCCAGGAUGUCGCGAGCCGCCGCCUCCUCACGCACGUAGCUGCCCGCCGUGGCGUCGGGGGCCUGCGGGCGGGCCGGUUGCGAGCGUGGGAGUGCGUGAGUGAGCGUGGGGAGGACAAAAGGGGCGGGCGGGUUUAACUUGCAGCCAAUGCAUAAGGGCGGGCAUGCUGUGCCGUGUGUGCCGGGAUCGGGAGUGGUGCCAGGCUAGCGGCCGGGAUUGCGCUGGGAUCGGGAGUGGUGCCAGGCUAGCGGCCGGGAUUGCGCUGGGAUAGGGAGGGGUGCCAGGCUGACAGCCCAUAAGGCACAACCACCCUCGCACGCCAGGCACGCCCGGCACUUGGCGGGUGAUGGGGAAUAAACCCCGUCACCCCGUCGGCUCCCUUAAUCAAUGAAAGCACUUGAUCAUUUGUUUACUUUCAAUUAUUCACGCCAGGCACGCACCGAGGUUUGCGGCAGCCCCGCCGGCCGUAUCUCGUCCACACGGUCCUUGCGGCGGCGGUAGAUGUGCACGGGCUCGCCGCUCUCAAGCCGGUAGCUGCAAAGCCGGGUGUGUUGUGUUGUGUUAAAGAUAACAAGGAAAACAUAGUUGUGUGUGUGUGUGUGUGUGUCAGUGAGGGUGUGCUGUGAUGUGGCGUGAGGGUAGAGGAAGUGCGUGCAGGACAGGAAGGAAAGGAAGCAAACUGCGGUUCCCAACACGGACUCACAGCACGUGCUGUGUUUCCUCUACCUUGCUGCCGAUGCUGCAGUUCCCCUGCCCCUACAGUUCCCCUGCCCCCCCCCCUACGCCUUAACUUCUUAGAUAAUCAUGAGUGUAACCCCCACCCCCCUCACUCACAUGGGGUACAGCUCUUCAGAGAUCUUGGAUCCAGGUACGGCAGCCCACAUGGCCACACGCGGCGCUUGGAAGUCGCGGAGCUGCUCCUGCCCCGCCGCGUUAACCCACCCGAACCCCCCGCCGGCGCGGCUCUCCCCGCCCGAAUCGCCGCCGCCCCAGUACGACUCCUCGUCGCCGUCCUCGCUGUCGUGGCCGUCCCAGGCGAAGCGCGAGGACACGCCGGAGAUGGAGGGCGCGGCGGUGGACACGGCUGCGUGCGUGUGUGCGUGUGUGUGUGUGUGUGGGGGGGGGGUAGAUGUGGAAGGGGGUGAAUACCAGCCAAACUAAACCAAACCAAGCUAAACGAGGGGGGGACAGCAUUGUUAUAAGUCAGAGGGGUUUCACAUUCUGCAGUUUUGCUGUACGGUAUGCCGAUCGACAUGGAGAGACCGAUGCAAGUGACGGCCGCAGCGAACAAGGCGGUGCCUGUUCUCGACAGCACACGAGGCAGGCGGCUCUCUACGGCGGCAGCAGCGCAAACAGGUAGCUCUAGACCGACCCCAGCAAGCCGCUCUUGUGGUCUUUAACACAGGUCGCUCACCUCUCCGACUACGACCCGACUUGACGGACAUUGCGUCCCCGCGUGUGGUGGUGGUGGUCGUCUGUCGCAGGAGCGUGGGGGACCGCAACGGCCCUCCGCCGCCUCCCCCUCCACCACCACCUCCUCCCCCAGCCCCCCGCGACUUGGAACGACCCAGCGUCCCCGCCCCGCCUCCACCACCCGCUCCCGCUCCCACGCCCGCAGGUGAGGCCGGUCCAUUGAUAGCGCCCAGCUCGUUUCGCAGUUGCACCGCCUGUGCGGCGUGAUGCGGGCGAAAGCACGCGAGCGCGAGCCGAACCGACACCAGGAUUACAACGCAACAACACUAGAGCAGGCCUAUUGCGCGUGUUACCAAGGAUACAGGCAAGUACGGGGGCGUACAGGCAAGUCCGGGGGCGUACAGGCAAGUCCGGGGGCGUACAGGCAAGUGCGGGGGCGUACAUGCAAGUGCGGGGGCGUACAGGCAAGUACGGGGGCGUACAGGCAAGUGCGGGGGCGUACAGGCAAGUACGGGGGCUAGCCAGCCAGCCAGCCCAAUCCAGCGCGAUCUCGCACCUUGGCUACGUCCAUGUUCGCCAUCAGCGCCGCCACCUGAUGCAGCAUGGCCCCGCCGCCACCGCCGCCAUUGGCGCCGCCGCCGCCGCCGCCGCCGCCGCCGCCGCCACCAGAAGCAGACGUGGACGAGGCAGCCGCCAGCGCAGCCCGCUGCUGCUGAAGCAGUGCCCUGGCGCCGCCGGCCCCGCGGCCGCCACCGUUUGCCGCAGCGGCCGGCGCGGUGCCGGGCCGGGCGUUGGCAGUGGGCCUGCGGCCGCCACCGCCGCCGCCACCCACUGCAAGCGAACCAGCAACGGCUGUGGAGGCGUUUGCACCUAGCCGCGGCAAUGAUGCUGAAGGCCCCAGCGCAGCACCCGUGGCGGCACGAGCACCGUACGCGCCACCAAACGGCGACCCGCUGGCACCUCCAGAACCAGCGCCGCCGCCGCCGCCGCCGCUCCUGGCAACGGACACAACCGAUCCCGCACUGCCGUCGCCUCCACCCGCCACCGUCUUCAGGCCCUGCACCAACGCCCCCGCCGUGUGCGGGCAGUGCGUCUCAAACUCAACACGCACGUUGAUGCCGCCGCCGCCGCCACCCGCACCGACACCGGGGGCAUGGCCGUCAGGGGCGGCGGCGGCGCGGCCGCCGCCGCCGCCCUGCUGCUGCUCGUCCUCCGCCACGGGCCGCAUUCGCCGCACUGCCGGCGACCAGCGUGUGGUGGUGCCGGGCCGCUGCAGGCGAGAGAUGGUGGUGGCGGUGGAGACCAGGCUGGUGCCGCCGCCGCCGCCGCCGCCGCCGUCACCGCCGCCACGCUCCGGGCUGCCGUCGUCGCUGCCGGCCCGGCCGGUCCCUGCAAUGCCAAGUAAGUGCGUGGGACAAUGGCGAUCAUGGGAAUGAUCAUGGCUGACCAAGCUGCUUCCUGAUCCUCAUUACGGAUGCGCACUUGCACCUGCUGGCGACAGGACACCCCACCCAGCCCCUGACUCGCUUGAUUUAUUUGGUUCAGUUGUUGGGCUGGAAUUCACACCCCCGUAAUGACUUCGUCUGCAGUCUUCAGUGCAUCCUGUACCGCUUUUCCACUUUUGCAAACCCCCCCCCACCCCCCCCCACCCCCGCGCCACCGGCACCUGCUGCCGGCCCCGCACCUGCUGCCGGCCCCGCACCUGCUGCCGGCCCCGCACCUGCUGCCGGCCCCGCGCCGCCCGCCGAGGCUCCCGACGGCAGCGGCUGCCCGGUGACCGGGUCCACCACUCCGAACAGCGGCAGCGGCGUGCCAUCGUGGCGGUCCACCAGCAGCGGCGCCCACAGGCUGGUGAGCGGCUUGGACAUGUGGGACUGGGGGGUGGGAGGAAAAGGGAGGAGGGAGGAGGAGGAGAGGUGAGGGAGGAGGAGGGGGACAUGUGGGACUGAGGGGUGGGAGGAGGACAAGGAGGAGGAGGGAGGAGGAGGAGGAGAGGUGAGGGAGCAGGGGGGCGUGUGGGACUGGGGGGUGGGAGGCGGGAGGCGGGAGGAGGGAGCAUGAAGGGGGACCAAGCGGCGAGCAGGAGUGGUGAGGGGGCGGAGCAAGGGGGCGUGUAUGGCAGGAAAAGGCAGGGAAGGGAAGGCGAGUAGUCCAGCAUGGCGGCGCAAACGUGCGCAUGCUAAGCAGAUGUACGAGCCGCUCCGAGUGAGGCGCUGCAGGUGAGGGAGGGGCGGCCCCGGCCCCACCGGCCCCAAGCUCCCCCAGACGCGACCAGCACAGGCACGCAUGCACACACGUGUGUCCGCACCCGCAGUGUGGACAGUCGAGGGAAGGCGGCAUGGAACGCCGCAUCCGCCGCAUCGCCCCCUGGGUCGGCGCCGUCAUCGCUGCCGGCACGGUACCUGCAGCAGCCCCCACAUAUUGCAGCGCAGGCGCAAGCAUGAGUGAAUAAGCACACAUGCUCCUAUAUAUACACAUCGUCAUGCGACGUAUUUGCAGUGCCGCAGUAGCUGAGCAGCCCAAGCUACGGCACCAGGGCCACACGUCAGGAGCACCAGCUGUCCACCUCCCACCCGCACCUGUCCAGCUCCCACCCGCACCUGUCCAGCUCCCACCCGCACCUGUCCAGGUCUGCGCCGUCGUCGUUGAGGGAGAACACAACCGACUUGGCGGCCCCGCCUCCCGCGACGGAGCGCCCCGCGGAGUACACAGAGGAGGCGGCCUGGCGGGAGGAACGACAUAAACGGGAACACUGUAAUUAAACAUGGAAGCAGGAGGUGUCAAAGUGACCUGGAAAUGGGGGCAAUGCGUGGAAUGGCCAACGGACACCUAUCCAAACACGAACCCCAACGCACCUGGCUCCUGGCGUCGUCACCGCCCCACACACUUCCGUCGCCGCCGCCACGGCUGCUCGCGCCGCCGCCAGCCCGACCGCUCCCUCCCUCCCCCCCGCCGCCGCCGUCCCGUGGCGGCACGUGCAGCGGCCGCGACAGCAUCUCCUGAAGGUACGACCCGUACGACACGUAACGCUCCACCUCGUGCCGCAUGUAGUACGGCACAAAAGCGCCGCGGCCGCCGUACGCGCUCGCGCCGCCGCCCGCCAGAUCUCCACCGUACGGCCCCUCCUCAUCCUCGUCCUCGCCAUCGCCGCCUCCGCCGCCAAAGCCCAUGUUGGAUGCGUCCUUGUUGGCGCGGCGGCGCGCCUCGGCCGCCUCUGCGGCGGUGAGGCCGGAGGCGAGGCUGCGGCGGCCGGUGGGCGCGGGCGGCGCGGAAUCGGCCCGAAGCUGCCCGGACAGCAGCGCGGCGGCGGCGUCAGGUCGGGACAGACCCGGCACACGCGGCGGCCUGCGGUGUUGUGUCACAUGAGGAGAGGCAUCAAGGUAGGCGAUGGGAUAGGGCGUGGACCAAAAGAAUGCGGCUGCCGUCCUGUACGUGUGCUGCGCAUCCGCUCCGCGGUUACACACCAGCUCGAAGCCUUCGUGCCGCCCAAACCGUGUCGCCCCAAACCGUGUCGCCCCAGCCGUCUUCCCACCUACCCCAGCCCACCCCGCAAGUCCUGCCACCUGACCGGAACGGGGCUUUCUGUUGAUGACGAAAACUUUUCGUUGGGCCUGGGCUCUUCACACACGCACCCUCUUCCCACUGUUUCAACCUUCGCUUCAGUUUGAGCUGGCAUUUGCCACCGCCACCCCCCACCCCCCACCCCCACUCCCACCCCCAUCCUCACCACCACCACCACAACGCCCCCUGGACCCGCCGCCGCCGCCCCGUGGGUCCGCCACCUCACCUGGCUGCCACGUCCGCCGCCACGUCCGCCAGUGCCCCGCGGGUCCGCACCUCCAGCUCCAGCCGGUACAGCAGUUGGCGGUUGCCGGGGUGGCGGCUGAGGUUGUACAGCGCGCCACUGCUGCUGUACAACACCUCCUCCACCGACCCCAGGGACUCCAGCUGCAGGCACGGACACACACAGACAGGGAGGGGUUGGGAGGAUGGAUUGUGAAUACCACCCACAACUAAACCGAAACCAUAUUAGUGGAGCACAGGCGGUGGCAGAGAGGCUUGCUCAAAUCCGGUACUUGAAACGUAUGCAGCGAAGCGGAGCAGGGCAGAACGUCAGUGAUGACACAAGUACGCUUGCGAGCUAGGGCCCGGAGCCGAAACUGGGAUCGGCACUGUAUCGACCCCCACAGGAACGCCCACCUCGAUCGUGGGCGUCGCAGACGCCACCGACUCCGCCACGCCGCCACCCAGGCUGUUUUCCCCCGGGCUGCCUCCUCCUCCACCUCCUCCUCCUCCACCACCGCCACCCCCCGCCAGGCUGCUCCUGCGCCCCGCCUGGUGCUGCUGCCUCUGCCGCCGCUGCGCCGCGCCGCUGCCCGCCACGCCGUGGGCGAAUUCCGCCGCCGGCGCCUCGGCGUCGGCCGCCAGCUGCCUGGCCCGUGCCGCCGCCGCCAGGCCCUGUUGCGUGAUGAGGUAGCCGUGGUAGCCGGUGAAGCGCGCGUUCACGUGCAGCAGCAGCCGGGCGCAGCGGGUGGCUAGGUCCACCUGAGCAGGGAGGGGAGGGGAGUGGGGGGGGGGGGGGUUAGCCACUUAUGUGUAGAACGGAGCGAUGAGCACUGGGAACAGCGGGUACUCUACCGUUGGGCGGGGGGUUGAGGAGGGCGAGGGUGAAGGAAGAGGUGGUGGGACCGAGGUGAAGGCAGGUAGGAAGGGCACUGGGGCCCGCCUCGGAUCGGGUGAAAUCGGACGCGCGGACAGUAGGUGGCAUGUACGUUCCUAACACGGCACCUAAAGGACACGAGACACACGAGACACACACACACACACACACACACACACACACACACACACACGCACCUGCGCCGGCACGUAGCUGGACAGGUUGAGUAGGGCCGUGCACACCGCCGCCUGCACACCCGGCGUCACCAGCGGCCGCCCCGCCACCGCCAGCAGCGCUGCCAGCCCGCCACAGCCGAGGAACACCGCCUUGGCGGCGUCGCCCUCACACAACAGGCCUGUGAAUGUGUGCCAUGCAAAAAGAAAAGGUCCAUGAAGAAUGCGCAGCAGUAAGAUACGGUACAGAAGUGAGCGAAAACGACUUUCGACUUGAGGGCAAAGAUGAAGGCUUCGCCGCCCGGUGCUGCCCACACCGGCGCCUUUUCGCCUGUCGUGUCUGGCCUUGCGUCCUCGCGUCUCCUAGUUUGUUACUGGGAAUGGUGAGACCACCUCCAACCCCCUGCACCUUCUCCUUGCAGCGCGAUUGUUUCCUCACGGGACUGGUUCAGACUCAACCCCCCCUCCCCCCCCUACACACACACACACACCACCCCAUUCCGCGCCUACCUGCCGCCGCGCGCGCCCCGACCAGCUGCUGCUCCGCCUCUACGCUCCCCAGCAUGCUCACGAUCAUGCGGCUCAGCGCGCGCAGCCGCGCCGGCUCCCCGCCCGCCGCAGCCGCAGCCGCCUCGCCGCUCGCGCCGCCCGUGGCGUCCGUGGCGGCGGCGGCGGAGCGUGGCGUGCUGCUGCUCACAGAGCCGCCGCCUCCGCCUCCGGCUGCUGCGGAGGCUGAUGUGCUCUCCGCCAUGGCGCUCCACCAGCGCGGAUCGCGGCCCUCAGGCGUCUGGCUCACCUGCGCGUUUCCAGCACAUGCACAAGGGUCGUAACCGGCAGGGAGGCAGGCCGCGGGUUUCCCCGGGGGGAUCCCCCGGAGGAGAUCCCACUAACAAUGCCAUGGUGAUACACGCGCGCCUUAUUACAAUGCUGUGGGGCCAGGUCAAAGCAAGCGCAGAGCAACCCCCCUGAUGAUGAAGGGACCUUCUUUGUUGGGCCCCGACACAUAAUCCCCCCCACACACACCCCCACACACCGUACCUCCAUCCACAGCGCCGCCGCCGCCGCGCGCGUCAUGCCGUCGUAGGCCGAGUCGUUGGCCACCGCCGCCAGUGCGCCGCCCGCGCCCUCCGUCACCAGCCGCACCCGGUACAGCCGCUCACCGGCGAACUGACGGAGUGGCGGCAGGGGCGUGCGGC